rnacentral:lncRNA from 1 species
AUGAAAUUGUAAGAGAGGCCUUGCUCUGCAAGGCAACCUCCAGCAGGAGGCCGAUUGGUGGUCCGGUAGCAGUGGGUAGGUGGAGAUGGUGGUGGGUGUCUGGUCUUUUGCUAUUUUUGGCUUUUUUUGCUUUGCUACUUUGGGAAAAGAGCGGGGAGGGGUUAAUCGACUGAACCCCCAUCCUAAAACCCCAUCAUGUCCCAUCUUGGAUAGUGGAAGGGUUGCCUGAUUUUGGGAUAAGGAAACUGGGGUGUUCAUUAAUUGGGGAUGUAAUGGAUGUGACCUUUGGGGUCUUUUCGAUUGAAGAGGGAGGGGAUUGCACUCCAUUGCCAUGACUGUCUUUUGGGAUUUCUCCAUUAGAGGGAGAUGCAGUAGUUGUGGUAGGGGUAGAAUAGGUGGUGAUAAUUGGUUUGGGUUGUUCGUUGACGGUGGAGCCUGG